rnacentral:rRNA from 1 species
ACGGGUGAGUAAUGCAUCGGGACCUACCCAGACGUGGGGGAUAACGUAGGGAAACUUACGCUAAUACCGCAUACGUCCUACGGGAGAAAGCGGGGGACCUUCGGGCCUCGCGCGGUUGGACGGACCGAUGUGCGAUUAGCUAGUUGGUAGGGUAAUGGCCUACCAAGGCGACGAUCGCUAGCUGGUCUGAGAGGAUGAUCAGCCACACUGGGACUGAGACACGGCCCAGACUCCUACGGGAGGCAGCAGUGGGGAAUAUUGGACAAUGGGCGCAAGCCUGAUCCAGCAAUGCCGCGUGUGUGAAGAAGGCCUUCGGGUUGUAAAGCACUUUUAUCAGGAACGAAAUACCACGGGUUAAUAACCUAUGGGGCUGACGGUACCUGAGGAAUAAGCACCGGCUAACUUCGUGCCAGCAGCCGCGGUAAUACGAAGGGUGCAAGCGUUAAUCGGAAUUACUGGGCGUAAAGGGUGCGUAGGCGGUUGUUUAAGUCUGUCGUGAAAUCCCCGGGCUCAACCUGGGAAUGGCGAUGGAUACUGGACAGCUAGAGUGUGUCAGAGGAUGGUGGAAUUCCCGGUGUAGCGGU